rnacentral:rRNA from 1 species
UAACACAGGUGCUGCAUGGCUGUCGUCAGCUCGUGUCGUGAGAUGUUGGGUUAAGUCCCGCAACGAGCGCAACCCUUGUCAUUAGUUGCUACGAAAGGGCACUCUAAUGGGACUGCCGGUGACAAACCGGAGGAAGGUGGGGAUGACGUCAAGUCCUCAUGGCCCUUAUAGGUGGGGCUACACACGUCAUACAAUGGCCGGUACAGAGGGUAGCCAACCCGCGAGGGGGAGCCAAUCCCACAAAGCCGGUCGUAGUCCGGAUCGCAGUCUGCAACUCGACUGCGUGAAGUCGGAAUCGCUAGUAAUCGCGGAUCAGCAUGUCGCGGUGAAUACGUUCCCGGGUCUU